rnacentral:sRNA from 1 species
CGGAGCCGCGGCGCCCAGGGCCGAGGGGCGGGUCCGAGGCCGCGGCCUUGCCUCCGCCGCGCCCGCCACUCCGCGGCCUCCGGGAGACACGCCGCCAUGCUGCAGAAGAGGGAGAAGGUGCUGCUGCUGAGGACAUUCCAGGGCCGCACGCUGCGGAUCGUGCGCGAGCACUACCUGCGGCCCUGCGUGCCCUGCCACAGCCCGCUCUGCCCGCAGCCCGCCGCCUGCAGCCACGAUGGGAAACUCUUGUCUAGUGAUGUGACUCAUUACGUGAUCCCAGACUGGAAAGUUGUUCAAGAUUAUCUUGAGAUCCUUGAGUUUCCUGAGUUGAAGGGAAUUAUUUUCAUGCAGACAGCUUGUCAAGCUGUGCAGCAUCAAAGAGGCCGGAGACAGUAUAACAAACUGCGAAACCUGCUGAAGGAUGCGCGUCAUGAUUGCAUUCUCUUUGCUAAUGAAUUCCAGCAAUGCUGCUAUCUGCCACGGGAAAGAGGAGAGUCCAUGGAGAAGUGGCAGACCAGGAGCAUAUACAACGCAGCUGUUUGGUACUAUCAUCACUGCCAGGACAGGAUGCCAAUUGUUAUGGUGACGGAAGAUGAAGAGGCAAUUCAGCAGUAUGGAAGUGAAACAGAAGGAGUAUUCGUGAUUACUUUCAAGAAUUACCUGGACAAUUUCUGGCCUGAUUUAAAAGCUGCCCACGAGCUUUGUGAUUCUAUCCUUCAGUCUCGACGGGAGAGAGAGAAUGAGAGUCAGGAGAGCCAUGGGAAGGAGUACCCAGAACAUCUUCCCCUGGAAGUGUUAGAAGCUGGGAUUAAAUCUGGACGCUAUAUCCAGGGAAUUCUGAAUGUCAACAAACACAGAGCCCAAAUAGAAGCUUUUGUUCGACUUCAAGGAGCCAGCAGUAAAGAUUCAGAUUUAGUCAGUGACAUCCUAAUCCACGGGAUGAAGGCUCGAAACCGCUCAAUUCAUGGAGAUGUGGUAGUUGUGGAGCUGCUUCCUAAAAAUGAAUGGAAAGGAAGAACCGUAGCCCUGUGUGAGAAUGACUGUGAUGACAAGGCUUCGGGCGAGUCCCCAAGUGAGCCCAUGCCUACAGGUCGAGUGGUGGGCAUACUUCAGAAGAACUGGCGGGAUUACGUGGUGACAUUUCCGUCCAAAGAAGAGGUCCAAUCUCAGGGCAAAAAUGCUCAGAAAAUCCUGGUUACACCUUGGGAUUACAGAAUUCCCAAAAUUCGAAUUAGCACUCAGCAAGCAGAAACCCUCCAGGAAGAAUCGGAGACCUGGAAGGGGAAAUUGCAACCAUCCUGGUGGAAAACAGUAUUUCAGUUAUUCCUUUCUCAGAAGCUCAGAUGUGUGAGAUGCCAGUAAACACACCAGAAAGUCCCUGGAAGGUGAGUCCUGAAGAGGAACAAAAACGUAAAGACUUGAGGAAAAGCCAUCUCGUAUUCAGCAUUGACCCCAAAGGUUGUGAAGAUGUGGAUGACACACUCUCAGUCAGAACCUUAAAUAAUGGCAACCUGGAACUUGGGGUCCACAUCGCAGAUGUAACACACUUUGUGGCACCAAAUUCUUACAUUGAUAUUGAAGCUAGAACAAGGGCCACCACUUAUUAUCUAGCAGAUCGUCGCUAUGACAUGCUGCCUUCCGUCCUCAGUGCGGAUUUGUGUUCCCUUCUGGGAGGCGUUGAUAGGUAUGCUGUAAGCAUCAUGUGGGAACUGGAUAAAGCCUCUUAUGAAAUUAAGAAAGUGUGGUAUGGCAGAACCAUUAUUCGAUCAGCAUACAAACUGUUCUAUGAAGCAGCCCAAGAACUACUGGAUGGAAACUUAAGCGUUGUUGAUGAUAUUCCAGAAUUCAAAGACUUGGAUGAGAAGAGCAGACAAGCCAAGCUGGAGGAGUUGGUGUGGGCAAUUGGAAAGCUGACCGACAUAGCUCGCCAUGUCAGAGCUAAACGAGACGGAUGUGGUGCCCUGGAACUGGAAGGGGCAGAGGUUCGCGUACAGCUAGAUGACAAAAAGAACAUUCACGACCUCAUCCCCAAGCAGCCCCUGGAAGUCCACGAGACAGUGGCUGAAUGCAUGAUCCUGGCCAACCACUGGGUCGCCAAAAAGAUCUGGGAGAGCUUCCCUCAUCAGGCCUUGCUGCGCCAGCACCCUCCUCCACACCAGGAGUUCUUUUCAGAACUCCGGGAAUGUGCUAAAGCCAAAGGCUUCUUCAUAGAUACACGGUAUUCCUCUUUUGAGGGGGCAGAGGAAUGGAGUGGCAUGCUGUAUAUUUAGUUAUCUUACAGUUGUUCUUAAAAUGUGACAGCCAG